UACGAAGGGGGCUAGCGUUGCUCGGAAUUACUGGGCGUAAAGGGAGCGUAGGCGGGUUAUCAAGUUGGAGGUGAAAGCCCAGGGCUCAACCUUGGAAUUGCCUUCAAAACUGAUAGCCUAGAGUAUGAUAGAGGUAAGUGGAACUCCGAGUGUAGAGGUGAAAUUCGUAGAUAUUCGGAAGAACACCAGUGGCGAAGGCGACUUACUGGAUCAUGACUGACGCUGAGGUGCGAAAGCGUGGGGAGCAAACAGG
rnacentral:rRNA from 1 species